AAUGGGCGAAAGCCUGAUGCAGCGACGCCGCGUGGGGGAUGAAGGCCUUAGGGUCGUAAACCCCUUUCAGUAGGGAAGAAAAUGACGGUACCUACAGAAGAAGCUCCGGCCAACUACGUGCCAGCAGCCGCGGUAAGACGUAGGGGGCGAGCGUUGUCCGGAUUUAUUGGGCGUAAAGGGCUCGUAGGCGGUUACGUAAGUCGGAUGUGAAAGCUCGAGGCUCAACUUCGAGACGCAUCCGAUACUGCGUGACUUGAGUCCGGUAGAGGAGUGUGGAAUUCCUAGUGUAGCGGUGAAAUGCGCAGAUAUUAGGAGGAACACCUAUUGCGAAGGCAGCACUCUGGGCCGGUACUGACGCUGAGGAGCGAAAGCAUGGGUAGCAAACAGGAUU
rnacentral:rRNA from 1 species